CCCCAGGAUUGACACCAAUCAUCAUGCAGAUGCCUCGGAAGGCAGAAUCCUUCUCCUCGUUGUCCCGGAUGUUCCUAAGGGACGUGCACCUGGCCAUGGAGGAGGGCAGCAGGGUCUUUCAUUGGCCUGGAGCUCUCUAAUUGGAAUACAGUGGCUAAGCAGCAAGCCCCAGGAAUCUGCCUCUGUCUCCCCACAGCUGGGAUUACAAGCAUGUGCCACUAGAUACAACUGUUUAAAAAACAAAACAAAACACAAAAACCAGUUUGUGGAGCUCAUCAUGUUUACAAGAGGUGGCCUACAACCUACUCAGAUUCCAGUCGGACAAAGCAUCGUCAUCAUCAUCAUCCUCUGCAUCCUCAGAGCCAUCAGGCCGCUCAGCCUCGUGGGGCAGUGUCACUG